CAAACGACUCUCGGCAACGGAUAUCUCGGCUCACGCAUCGAUGAAGAACGUAGCAAAAUGCGAUACUUGGUGUGAAUUGCAGAAUCCCGUGAACCAUCGAGUUUUUGAACGCAAGUUGCGCCCGAAGCCAUCCGGCCGAGGGCACGUCUGCCUGGGCGUCACGC
rnacentral:rRNA from 9 species